GUACACUCCUGCGGGAGGCAGCAGUGGGGAAUUUUGGACAAUGGGCGAAAGCCUGAUCCAGCCAUGCCGCGUGCAGGAUGAAGGCCUUCGGGUUGUAAACUGCUUUUGUACGGAACGAAACGGCCUUUUCUAAUAAAGAGGGCUAAUGACGGUACCGUAAGAAUAAGCACCGGCUAACUACGUGCCAGCAGCCGCGGUAAUACGUAGGGUGCAAGCGUUAAUCGGAAUUACUGGGCGUAAAGCGUGCGCAGGCGGUUAUGUAAGACAGUUGUGAAAUCCCCGGGCUCAACCUGGGAACUGCAUCUGUGACUGCAUAGCUAGAGUACGGUAGAGGGGGAUGGAAUUCCGCGUGUAGCAGUGAAAUGCGUAGAUAUGCGGAGGAACACCGAUGGCGAAGGCAAUCCCCUGGACCUGUACUGACGCUCAUGCACGAAAGCGUGGGGAGCAAACAGGAUUAGAUACCCUUGUAGUCCCAU
rnacentral:rRNA from 1 species